rnacentral:rRNA from 1 species
UACGAAGGGGGCUAGCGUUUGUUCGGAAUUACUGGGCGUAAAGCGUGCGCAGGCGGUUCGUUGUGUCUGAUGUGAAAGCCCCGGGCUCAACCUGGAAGAUGGCGAUGAAGACUGCAAGGCUAGAAUCUGGCAGAGGGGGUAGAAUUCCACGUGUAGCAGUGAAAUGCGUAGAGAUGUGGAGGAACACCGAUGGCGAAGGCAGCCCCUGGGUCAAGA